UCCUGGAUCAGCGGCUUGUCUUGCUCAUAGCACAAGGCUUUUGCCUUCUGAUGAUACCAAAGACAUCCUUUUCCUUCUGGGAAACAUUCUUCUAGUAGUGGCGUAAUUCAAAGGUGAGGUGUUGGAUCUUUGAGAUUUUGUCCACAUGUAUCAAAUCUGUUGUGCAACUGCUAGUCUUGAUUUGUUAAAUUCGGAACUGGAUUAGUAGGGGAAGCUGUGGAUCAGAACCAAGGCAUGCUGAUGCUGGGAGAACUGCAAAAAAAAAAAAAAAAAAUCCUGUGAUUUGGAGUGCUCAUGCAUUGCCAGAGUUUCUAUCAGGAAAGACAGUGAGGAUUCCAGCAGUAGGGAUUUUCUGAGAGCCAAGGUUCAGCUGAAGUAGCAGAGCUGUCUGAGGCAAGCUUGUAAAGCACCUGCUUUGUUUUGUUUGUGGCAAAAUCUAUUAAUCUAUUUUUUCUGGACACUAAACAUGUAAACCUUUGGAAAUGGUAUUAAAUUUUAUAGCUUUUCAAAAUCUAGGCUAAGUCUAUUUGCCUAGUAUUCUGAUCUUGUUGCCAAAUGCUUAAAGGUAGUAUUUUGAGGGUCUCACUUUUUUUCCUAUCUCUUAACUAAAGUGGCUAUUAUUGUGGUUGGCCACAAUUAUAAACUUCAGCUUCAUUAAGUUGCCCACUUUCUCUUUGAACUAUUUUUCUCCUUCUCAUAGUGUUUUGUAUAACCUUGUUAAUUCCUUAUCAUCAAUGUCUACUAUAAAAUAACUUCUCAGUAUCUUAUCUUUAAUUCUAAUUAUAUUCCUUGAUUAUAACUUUCUUGCCUGGCCUUCCUCUUUUUUUGUAAUUGCAGCUACUUAUAUUCACUCUUUCUUCUGCUAUUUAAUUGUGUUCCUACCCUCAGUUAUGCCUUUGGCUUCCUGUCUCACAUUACAGCUCCCUUCUCAGACCCUGAGUAAUCUUACCUGAGUUCACGAUCUUGAUUUCACUGCCACAGCUUUAUAUAAGCACUUCCAAUCAUAUUUUCUUGCUGCUCUUUUGGGCUUUGGCUAUGCUAGAGCUCUCCCUGCUAGUCUGUCUUCAGAUGCUUCUGCAAGCUCCAAGGCUAUUGCAGAUUAACACUGCUAACAUAUUGCAGCAAGUUUGUGCAGUAUUUGUUCUAUGGAUUCUACAAGGAAGGUCUGCCUGUUAUCGGCAAGCUUGGUUUCCACGUGUCAUCUACAACAGGCACUGUGCUGUAUAGUACUUCUCGUAGUACAAGCAAAUCUCUACAAACACAAGAUCUCGUGGUACAAAUGACAUCUUUUUGGAAUUUCCUCGUCUGUGUAAGUUGCUUCAUGUAUUUGGAUAUAUUAUGCUACUUUUUUGCCAACAACUAUUUGAUUUGUUUCUGAUCAUUCGUUAUUGGAAGUUUGGGGAUUAUAUCUGAGAAAUCACACAAUCAGCAUGCUGCUCAGUGCCUCUGGGAUUCUUUGAAAUAUGGAUAUUGCCAAGGCUGAACUUUCUCAUGUGGAAUAAUCUGCCUUAUGAUUGGUUAUGCAAAUAUUGUACUGAGUUGGAAUACAAUUUGCUUGGAAAAAGGAGAGGUUCUGGAAGAAAAGAUAAAAUGAACUCUGCAGUCAGAAGAAAUGAAGCACAUCAUUCUAGGAGAGGAAGGAGACUUCUUUUACAAAGGAUGUGGAUUAUAUUCUUGAUGUUUUCUUCAUUUGUGGACUGCAAGAUGCUCAUAAGGAGUGUUGCAGCUAUUUCAUUGGAUUGUUGGAUUGUAAAAGCAUAGAGGAUGCUGGAGUAUACACCUUUUUGUGGUACAGUUGGACACUGUGGUUCAGAGACCCUGUUGAGAUGCUUGGAAUAAACCAUUUGGAGCUAUACAGUUGAUGGCAGCAGCAAAGAAGCUUGAAGAAACCACCUUGUGAAGUGUACUGAACCUUCUGCAGCAGAACCUGAUUCCUAGCAAGGCAGCAACUGGGAAAUACUGGUACAUCCGUUGUGUGGAAGGAAUGUGACCCAUCUGGGAAAUGACAGACUCAGAAUGCUUGAUAAAUACCAGCUCAGCUUUCAACAGAUGGCAAAAUGUGGGGGGAAAAAGUCU